rnacentral:rRNA from 1 species
AGUGAACGCUGGCGGUAGGCCUAACACAUGCAAGUCGAACGGCAGCACAGUAAGAGCUUGCUCUUACGGGUGGCGAGUGGCGGACGGGUGAGGAAUACAUCGGAAUCUACUUUUUCGUGGGGGAUAACGUAGGGAAACUUACGCUAAUACCGCAUACGACCUACGGGUGAAAGCAGGGGAUCUUCGGACCUUGCGCGAUUGAAUGAGCCGAUGUCGGAUUAGUUAGUUGGCGGGGUAAAGGCCCACCAAGGCGACGAUCCGUAGCUGGUCUGAGAGGAUGAUCAGCCACACUGGAACUGAGACACGGUCCAGACUCCUACGGGAGGCAGCAGUGGGGAAUAUUGGACAAUGGGCGCAAUCCUGAUCCAGCCAUACCGCGUGGGUGAAGAAGGCCUUCGGGUUGUAAAGCCCUUUUGUUGGGAAAGAAAAGCAGCAGGUUAAUACCCCGCUGUUCUGACGGUACCCAAAGAAUAAGCACCGGCUAACUUCGUG